rnacentral:rRNA from 1 species
AGCGGCAAAAGCUCAAAUUUGAAAUCUGCGUAAGCCGAGUUGUAAUUUGAAGAUGGCUACUUUGGUAAUGGCUCUUGUCUAUGUUCCUUGGAACAGGACGUCACAGAGGGUGAGAAUCCCGUGCGAUGAGAUGUCCAUUACCGUGUAAAGUGCUUUCGAAGAGUCGAGUUGUUUGGGAAUGCAGCUCUAAGUGGGUGGUAAAUUCCAUCUAAAGCUAAAUAUUGGCGAGAGACCGAUAGCGAACAAGUACAGUGAUGGAAAGAUGAAAAGAACUUUGAAAAGAGAGUGAAAAAGUACGUGAAAUUGUUGAAAGGGAAGGGCUUGAGAUCAGACUUGGUAUUUUGUAUGGCUUGCUUUCGGGCGGGUCCUCUGCAGUUUACUGGGCCAGCAUCGGUUUGGGUGGCAGGAUAAUAGCGAAGGAAUGUGGCUCUACUUCGGUGGAGUGUUAUAGCCUUUGUUGAUACUGCCUGCCUAGACCGAGGACUGCGUCUUUUGACUAGGAUGCUGGCAUAAUGAUCCUAAGCCGCCCGUCU